rnacentral:rRNA from 1 species
CGUGUAGGCGGCCUGCCAAGUCGGGUGUGAAAGCCCUCGGCUCAACCGAGGAAUUGCACCCGAUACUGGCGGGCUAGAGUCCGGGAGGGGGUAGCGGAAUUCCCAGUGUAGCGGUGAAAUGCGUAGAUAUUGGGAAGAACACCAGUGGCGAAGGCGGCUACCUGGACCGGAACUGACGCUGAGGCGCGAAAGCUAGGGGAGCGAAUG